UUUGAUGGUGGCUCAGAUUGAACGCUGGCGGCAGGCCUAACACAUGCAAGUCGAGCGGUAACAGAAAGGAAGCUCGCUUUCUUUGCUGACGAGCGGCGGACGGGUGAGUAAUGCCUGGGAAUAUACCCUGAUGUGGGGGAUAACUAUUGGAAACGAUAGCUAAUACCGCAUAAUCUCUUCGGAGCAAAGAGGGGGACCUUCGGGCCCCUCGCGUCAGGAUUAGCCCAGGUGGGAUUAGCUAGUUGGUGGGGUAAUGGCUCACCAAGGCGACGAUCCCUAGCUGGUCUGAGAGGAUGAUCAGCCACACUGGAACUGAGACACGGUCCAGACUCCUACGGGAGGCAGCAGUGGGGAAUAUUGCACAAUGGGGGAAACCCUGAUGCAGCCAUGCCGCGUGUAUGAAGAAGGCCUUCGGGUUGUAAAGUACUUUCAGUUGUGAGGAAGGCGUUGGAGUUAAUAGCUUCAGCGCUGA
rnacentral:rRNA from 1 species